rnacentral:rRNA from 1 species
CAGUAGCCGCGGUAAAACGUAGGUGGCAAGCGUUGUCCGGAAUUAUUGGGCGUAAAGGGCUCGCAGGCGGUUUCUUAAGUCUGAUGUGAAAGCCCCCGGCUCAACCGGGGAGGGUCAUUGGAAACUGGGAAACUUGAGUGCAGAAGAGGAGAGUGGAAUUCCACGUGUAGCGGUGAAAUGCGUAGAGAUGUGGAGGAACACCAGUGGCGAAGGCGACUCUCUGGUCUGUAACUGACGCUGAGGAGCGAAAGCGUGGGGAGCGAACAGGAUUAGAGACCCGAGUAGUCCCUGUCUCUUAUAC